AUCNNGCACAAUGGGCGAAACCUGAUGCAGCGACGCCGCGUGAGGGAUGAANGCCUUCGGGUUGUAAACCUCUUUCAGCAGGGACGAAGCGGNAAGUGACGGUACCUGCAGAAGAAGCACCGGCUAACUACGUGCCAGCAGCCGCGGUAAUACGUANGGUGCAAGCGUUGUCCGGAAUUACUGGGCGUAAAGAGUUCGUAGGCGGUUUGUCGCGUCGUUUGUGAAAACUCACAGCUCAACUGUGANCUUGCAGGCGAUACGGGCAGACUUGAGUACUGCAGGGGAGACUGGAAUUCCUGGUGUAGCGGUGAAAUGCGCAGAUAUCAGGAGGAACACCGGUGGCGAAGGCGGGUCUCUGGGCAGUAACUGACGCUGAGGAACGAAAGCGUGGGUAGCGAACAGGAUUAGAUACCCUGGUAGUCCACGCCGUAAACGGUGGGCGCUAGGUGUGGGUUCCUUCCACGGAAUCUGUGCCGUAGCUAACGCAUUAACGCCCCGCCUGGGGAAUACNGCCGCAAGGNUAAAAUUCAAAGGAAUUGACGGGGGCCCGCACAAGCGGNGGAGCAUGUGGAUUAAUUCGAUGCAACGCGAAGAACCUUACCUGGGUUUGACAUAUACCGGAAAGCCGUAGAGAUACGGCCCCCCUUGUGGUCGGUAUACAGGUGGUGCAUGGCUGUCGUCAGCUCGUGUCGUGAGAUGUUGGGUUAAGUCCCGCAACGAGCGCAACCCUUGUUUUAUGUUGCCAGCANGUAAUGGUGGGGANUNGUAAGAGACUGCCGGGGUCAANUCGGAGGAAGGUGGGGACGACGUCAAGUCAUCAUGCCCCUUAUGUCCAGGGCUUNACACAUGNUACAAUGGCCAGUACAGAGGGAU
rnacentral:rRNA from 1 species